rnacentral:rRNA from 1 species
UACGAAGGGGGCUAGCGUUGCUCGGAAUCACUGGGCGUAAAGCGCACGUAGGCGGCGCCGUAAGUCAGGGGUGAAAUCCCGGAGCUCAACUCCGGAACUGCCCUUGAAACUGCAGUGCUAGAAUUCUGGAGAGGCGAGUGGAAUUCCGAGUGUAGAGGUGAAAUUCGUAGAUAUUCGGAAGAACACCAGUGGCGAAGGCGGCUCACUGGACUGGUAUUGACGCUGAGGUGCGAAAGCGUGGGGAGCAAACAGG